CCUACGGGGGGCUGCAGUGAGGAAUAUUGGUCAAUGGGCGCGAGCCUGAACCAGCCAAGUAGCGUGAAGGAUGACUGCCCUACGGGUUGUAAACUUCUUUUAUAAAGGAAUAAAGUGAGGCACGUGUGCCUUUUUGUAUGUACUUUAUGAAUAAGGAUCGGAUACCUCCGGGCCCGCAGCCGCGUUAAUACGGAGGAUCCGAGCGUUAUCCGGAUUUAUUGGGUUUAAAGGGAGCGGAGAUGGGUUGUUAGGUCAGUUGUGAAAGUUUGCGGCUCAACCGUAAAAUUGCAAUUGAUACUGGCAGUCUUGAGUACAGUUGAGGUAGGCGGAAUUCGUGGUGUAGCGGUGAAAUGCUUAGAUAUCACGAAGAACUCCGAUUGCGAAGGGAGCUUACUAAACUGCCACUGACAUUGAUGCUCGAAAGUGUGGGUAUCAAACAGGAUUAGAUACCCCAGUAGUC
rnacentral:rRNA from 1 species